rnacentral:rRNA from 1 species
UACGGAGGAUCCGAGCGUUAUCCGGAUUUAUUGGGUUUAAAGGGUAGCGUAGGCGGCCUAUUUAAGUCAGGGUGAAGACGGUAGCUUAACUAUCGCAGUGCCUUUGAUACUGAGUGGGCUUGAAUGUAGUUGAGGUAGGCGGAAUGUGACAAGUAGCGGUGAAAUGCAUAGAUAUGUCACAGAACACCAAUUGCGAAGGCAGCUUACUAAGUAUAUUGACGCUGAGACACGAAAGCGUGGGGAUCAAACAG